CCUCCCAAAGUGCUGGGAUUACAGGCAUGAGCCACCGUACCCAGCCCUGUAUUGUCUUUAAAAACCCAUUUUGGGCCUGGCAUGGUGGCUCACGCCUGUAAUCCCAGCACUUUGGGAGGCCGAGGCAGGCGGAUCACGAGGUCAGGAGAUCAAGACCAUCCUGGCUAACACAGUGAAACCCCAUCUCUACUAAAAAUACAAAAAAAAAAAAAAAAAAAAAUUAGCCGGGCAUGAUGGUGGGUGCCUGUAGUCCCAGCUACUUGGGAGGCUGAGGCAGGAGAAUGGCAUGAACCCAGGAGGCGGAGCUUGUAGUGAGCCCAGAUCACACUCCUGCACUCCAGCCUGGGCAACAGAGCGAGACUCCGACUCAAAAACAAAAACAAAAAAUAUGAUUUUGGCAUGUUUUAUAAGUUGCCAGACUAUUGGAUAUAUAUCUUAAUCAUACUUUGUUUGAAAUCCUUUGUGGUUUCUAAAGCACUAGUAGCUUUCUGAAAGGAAGAUUUUUAAUGAAUGAAGCACGCUUCGUCCUGCCCAUCCCCUCCUGCCCCAGCACCGCUACUGCCCCAGCGCCAGGCCUUUUCUAGCAGCUCCCAUGGGCUCAUCUCUGCAGCAGGCAUUGCUCCACCAAGGGGCAGUGCUCCCCCUGCAGGUAAGUGGUGGAACUUCACGUUUCCCUCUAGUUUUAACAUUUUAACAUACACUAUUAUGUGUAAAUAUAUUAAUUAUAUGUUAAUUACACUUAUAGAGGUUAGGUAUAUAUGGAAGAUCAUAUCUGAGCGUGCAUUACAUUCUCCAAUAUUUUUAUUUGUCAUGAUUUAUUGCAGGGCUCAUUUAUUUGAUCUACCCCAACUUAUUUAACACACAUUUCCAAGAAAAUAUCCAUCACACUAGAAAGAAAGAGAGAGGAAGGAAGGAAGGGAGGGAGGGAGAGAAGGAGAAAGGAAGAAAGGGAAGGAAAAAGGAAUGGAGGAAGGGAAAAAUGGAAGGAGGAAGGAAGGAAGGGAAAGAAAGAAGAAAGCCAUUUGUUUUGCAAACCUAAACCUCUUUGUAGUAAGUUCUGGCAGAAGAUGUGUUUCUGGAAUUAAACUACAGGCUUGGAAAUGGAAUUUCUUAGCCUAAUUUCUAAAUUAGAACUGCUUAUGCAAAUUAAUACUCCGUACAUUUCAAUAAGCACUCCGCCUGCAGAUGCAGAGGUGGCCCCAUCCUGUGAUGUGCCACCAUAUCCCUUUUCAGUGAAGGGCUUUGUUGGCUGCUGUGGGCAUUCUCAUGGCCUCUCCAGGGAUGGCCUCCACUGUAGAGACCUGUGUCACCAAGGCCAGGCCCUCCCAGGGGGCUCCAUCCAACGACCAUUCUGCCUCAGGGUAAGAGGCCCGGCCCUCUCAGCCUGAGUCCAUUCUGGCUCCAGAACUCCCUGAGAGCUUGCCUGGAAAGUUCCUCUUGCUAUUCUAGCUUCCAGCAGGCGUUGAUUUCUGGGGCACUUUUGAUAAACUCCUGGCAGGAAACUCAAUCUCGGGGGGUCAGAGUCUACUUCCUGGGGAGCCUAAUCUGUGACCCCUAGGAGUGGGGACCAUGGAAGCACUUGGCUCUCCAGCAUGUGCUGAAUAGGGGGUGCUGCCUGCAGUGUCCGCGUGGAAACCUGGCUAGGAGAAUGCCUGUGUGCUCCGCGUGGGGAUGCAAAGGUGUGAGCAAACCUUCAGGGAGGGGAUGUUCAAUGCGAUACUUGAACAUUGGGACCUGAAAAACUGAUGGGCUGAUGGGGUCUGCCUGUGAUUGGCAGCCCUCGCAGAAUCACGAGGGAUGAGCACAGGCCACCCUAGACGGGAGGGGGUCCCUACUGGCAGGGAGGUGCUGUGGGGGCAGCAGGCAGGUGCAGGAAAACGGAAAAGCAGAGUAAUUGAAUGUAAAUCAUGCGACUCCACUACAGUGGUGAAGCCUGGAUGGGCAACUCGGCUGAGUGAUGCUGGUCAAGUUAUUUAGUAUCAGUAUUCUCAGUUUUCUCAUCUGUAAAGGGGAUUAAAUACUUCUUUCCCUUACAGGGCUGCCCUGGUCUUAAAUUAAGUAAUGCCUGCAGAGAGCUUAGCAUUGUUCUUGGCAAGUCACUAGUACUCAGUAAAUACUAUUUUUAUUAAGAAGAUAAGAUUCACAGGACUUAGUGUCUUAACUAGAUGUUGAGAGUAAGGAGAAGAGAGAAUACUUCUCGGAUGGUUCUUCAGUUUCUGAUGAAUAUCUGUUCCCCUUUCAAAACCUAAUUCAGAUGUCACUUCCUCCUAAAAGUUCUCGCCCCGCCCCGAGCUACUGUGAUGUAUUUUAAUGACCUGGUAGCUUUUUUCUCAUAUCCCUGUUAGUGGUAUUGUGGUAAGAACAUGAGACACAGAAUCAGAAACCAUGGAUUUCUGGUCUUGACUCCACUACCACUCAGAGGAGCCUCAUGGUGGAUGCCAUAAGAGUUUACACUGAAAAGGAUUUUCACGAAAACCUGCAUUUUCAUUUCGUUCACAAGAGAAUUAUGAGACUAGAAAAACAACAGUUCUUAGUAUACCACAGACUAUGGUGCCCAGGAAUAACAGACAAGCUUUAACUCACACGAUGAGCAUCUUUAUUUAGCUCUGCUUUUAGAUAUCUGCAUGAUAAAGAGAGUGAUCCAACAUUAGAAAUCAUCUGGACAUUAAAACUGAAUUGUAGGCAGGCAUGGUGGCUCACACCUGUAAUCCCAGCACUGAGGGAGGCCAAGGUGGGCAGACUGCUCGAGCUCAGGAGUUUGAGACCAACCUGGGCAACAUGGUAAGACCCCUAUCUCUACAAAAAAUAUAAAAAUUAGCUAGGCAUCGUGGCCUGUGCCUGUAGUCCUAGCUACUGAGGAGACUGAUGCAGGAGGAUCAUUUGAGCCCAGGAGUUUGAGACCAUUCUGGGCAAUACGGUGAAACCCUCUCUCUACAAAAAAAUGCGAAGAUUAGCCGGGCAUGGUGGCACAUGCCUGUGGUCCCAGCUACUCGGGAGGCUGAGGCAGGAGGAUUGCAGGAGAUUUGCUUGAACCGGGGAGGUCAAGGCUGCAGUGAACUGAGAUUGCAUCACUGCACUCCAGCCUGAGUGACAGAGUAAGACCCUAUCUCAAAAAAAAGAACUAAUUGUAACAAACUAUCUUUCAAAUUAUAUCAAAACGUAAUUCAUAAAUUCCAUGUUGCCCAGAGAUCGUGAGGAGCUCUUCUAUGAUUUGACAGUGCAAUUACUGAAGGGGAAGACACCAUGCAAAUACAUGGUAAAAAUAUUCAAAUUAUUACUGAUUUGAUACAAAAUAUUGAUGUAAAUAACAUAAAACUGUAAUAUGCCAUUAUGAUGACAUUAAUGAAAAAUUGGUUAAUGAAUGUCAUUGAAAGCAUGUACAUCACUAAAUGUUCUUAGUCACUGAAAAUGUGAAAUAUCCCCUAAACUCAUAUGUGAAAAAAGAACUUGAAAAAGGUUUCCAGAAAUGUGACAAUUCUGCACUUUCAUGACAUUUUAAAAAAGGGAUUGUAAAGAUUGAUGAAACCCUUAAAACCUCUCCAUAAUUAAAAAUCAUUUUUGAUCAACAGAGUAAACUGAUUUUUUAUCUCUGUUGAAAGAUAUUUUUAAAAUCAUUGUCCUAGGGAAAGGUCAUAUCAGAACGUUUGCUAUUUAAUGUAGCACAGAUGUAUCAAAAAGGCAUGCCAGGCAGUUACAGAUAUCUUAGUUUUCUGGAUUUUGUGACGUUUGUGGUAUUCGUCAGAUUUUUAAAAUUUGUGAUUUGUUGGGAUUUGUUCCUCAUUCACAGGUAAUUUUAUAUACUUUUGUAUUCACUUUGAAAAAGAAGGCAACUGUAAAUUUUAUGAACUUCAAGUGCUAUAAAACAAUUACCACAGUAAAUUUUGAAAAAUUCACCCCAGAAAGAAACCUUGUACCCAUCGGCAGUAACUCCCUGUGCUCCGCCAUUUCCUCUCAGCUCCCUGUCUGGCAACCACUUCCUGUCUCUUUAGAGUUGCCUCUUCUGGACAUUACAUAUAAACGGAAUUAUACACUAUGUGGACUUUUAUGACUGGCUUCUUUCACUUAGCAUAAUGUUUUCAAGAUUCAUCCGUGUUGUAGCAUUUGUGAGUACUUCAUUUAUUUUUGUUUCCUAACAAUACUCCAUUGUAGGGAUUGACCACACUUUACCCAUUCAUUGGUUGAUGGACAUCUGGGUGGUUUCCACUUUUUGCUGUUGUGAAUAACAGUGCUAAGCACAUUCAUAUGCAAUGUUUGUGUAGAUAUAUAAUAUGCUUUAUUUUCUCUUGGGUACUUAAAAGUGGAGCUUCUGGGUAAUAUAAUAACUCUAUGUUUAGUAUUCUGAAGAAUUGCUAAAUUGUUUUCCAAAGCAGCUGUACAAUUUUAUAUCCCUACCAGCAGUGCAUGAAGCUUCCAGUUUCUCCGCAUCACCACAAAUACUCCUUAUUAUCUCUCUUUUUAGGUAUAGACAUUCUGGCAGAUGUGAGAUUGUAUCUCCUUGUGGUUUAGAUUUGCAUUUGGAGCAUGUCUUAUGUGCACUUAAAAAUAUUAAUAUCUAUUCUGCUGUUGUUGGGUAAACUGUUCUAUAAAUGUUGAUAUGGUUUGGCUGUGUCCCCACUCAAAAUCUCAUCUGGAAUUGUAAUCUCCAUAAUCCCCAUGUGUCAAGGGUGGGACCAGGUGGAGGUAAUUGGAUCAUUAGGGUCCAACAUUAUGGUCCAUUAUGAUCAUUGGAUCCAUAAUGAUCAUUGGAUCAUGAGGGUGGUUUUGCCUACGCUGUUUUCAUGGUAGUGAGUCUCACAAGGUCUGAUGGUUUUAUAAGCAUCUGGCAUUUCCCCUGCUUGCACUCAGGCUGUCCUGCCACACUAUGAAGAAGGUGCCUUGCUUCUCCUUUGCCUUCUGCCAUGAGUUGUAUCCUGGAGGACAUCCCUUGCCUUUCACCAGGUGACCCUAUACCAGAGGCAGAACUUCUCGAUUGUGCGGAUUUCAAAAUGGCUCCAUGUACUCAUAGUUUUCAUGACAGACUUCAUUGCCAUAGUCAAAUACUGUUCCACUUACUGCAGUUUCCUACAAUCUGGGUUUUGUUCAGUUGAAAUUAAAUAAAUUUUAUGCACAAACCUUUCA